CCUACGGGGAGCAGCAGUCGAGAAUCAUUCACAAUGGGGGAAACCCUGAUGGUGCGACGCCGCGUGGGGGAAUGAAGGUCUUCGGAUUGUAAACCCCUGUCAUGUGGGAGCAAAUUAAAAAGAUAGUACCACAAGAGGAAGAGCCGGCUAACUCUGUGCCAGCAGCCGCGGUAAUACAGAGGUCUCAAGCGUUGUUCGGAAUCACUGGGCGUAAGGCGUGCGUAGGCUGUUUCGUAAGUCGUGUGUGAAAGGCGCGGGCUCAACCCGCGGACGGCACAUGAUACUGCGAGACUAGAGUAAUGGAGGGGGAACCGGAAUUCUCGGUGUAGCAGUGAAAUGCGUAGAUAUCGAGAGGAACACUCGUGGCGAAGGCGGGUUCCUGGACAUUAACUGACGCUGAGGCACGAAGGCCAGGGGAGCGAAAGGGAUUAGAUACCCUUGUAGUC
rnacentral:rRNA from 1 species